rnacentral:lncRNA from 1 species
UAGGUAGUUGUACAGGUAUAUCUGCAUGGGUAUAUAUUGUAUAUAAGUCGAAUAAACAUGUCACAGAGUGACUGAAUGAUAUAAAUAAAUAAGCAUCUCACAGAGUGAGCGAACGAUAUAAAUAAAUAAACAUGUCGAGUUCAUGUUGUGUCCAACCAUAAAAUUGCCAUCCAACAUAUGUUUUGCAUAUGCAAAUAUGAGAAGCGCGAAUUACAUACAUCCUUUUAGACUCCCAGUCUACACAAUCCCCCCAUUCAUUGGAUAGGUGGAUUUCCUGGGAGAUAAGGUGCAAAACUUCAAGGCCCAACGGAGCUGAAAUGACUCAGUAUAGCAAUCCCAUCGAGACUAGGCUCGUACCUCGUUGGAGACAGGGACGGCGUGGAUGCGGGAGGCGACUGUCCAACGCUACUCAUAUACAUUUGGACCCGCAUUUGAACUAACUGGACGAAAUUCAUGCAAACCAGCUCCAGGGUGGAAAGCGCCGACAUAAAGGCGAGCGGGCGUAUCGGUGCUAGUUGCGGACGUCCGGCAAUGCCUCUGUGGCAGCUGGAGACGUACAGCGGCAACGACGGAGGUGGAGGGUGCAGAUGCAAAGAGAGGAGGAGCAGGGCGGAGUGGAAGGAAUUGGGACCGGGAGGGGGAAUUGGGUGGGCCGGGGAUGUCGGAGUCCUACGUGGCUCCUGUCUGGUUUGAACAUUUUUUCAUUAUUGAAAAAAUAUCCGAAUUUUAAAAAAUGUUGAUGAAUUUAAAAAAUGUUUCCAUAUUUUUAAAACUGUUGAUGAAUUUGAAAAAAUUGAUCACAAGUUUGAAAAAAUGUUUCUUAUUUUUGAAAAUGUUCUUGAAUUUCAAAAAAUGUUCAUGUAUUUGGAAAGUGUCCCUGCAUUUCAAAAUUAAAAUAUGGGGGACAGUUAUUUCUAUUGUUUCUUUUACAUUUUUAUACAAAAAAGGAAAUGGAGAAAAGCAAAAAAGAAAAGAAAAUGUAAAAGGAAAAACUUAUAGAAAAAACACAAAAGAAAAAGAAAGAAAAAACGAUCUAGGAAUGUUCUAGUACUUUUCUAUAAACGGGGAAACACACUAAAAACCCCGAACUGGCCUGGCACGAUAUAGUGCCUACAUUGCGUGAGGGUGUGCGUUUGCUCGCUAACUAUUGAUCUAUGCUGGGAUUCAGAAUAUCGUCAUUAUCUUGCCUCUAGUGAGAUUUUUUCUUGAGAAUUCUCGCCCAACUUUAUUGAUUUUUUUGAGUCACGCCUAACUUUAUUGAUGAAUCAAAAUGUUCUAGUGAGAUGGAAGAACAACUGGUCACAAGCUAGUACAUAGCGGGCCGGCCAGUCGGGAGCCAUUAGUGUGCUUCAUUCAUUCCUUUUAUUUAUUUGGGUCCUUUUUACUUACUUAUUUUUAUUUAUUUCUUAAAAUACUUGACUUAAUUUUUAAAAAAUCACCACGCAUUAAAAAUUAUGUAAUGCAAUGAAAAUUAUCGCAUAAUUUGUACAUAAAUUUUUGAUAUUAUUAAAAGAAAAGUUCAUCACAAUUAAAUAACAUUCACAUGUUUGAAAAAUAUGAUCAAUUUUUUAUUAAAUCUUAAUAACAUAUAAAAAAACAUGUAAUUUGUAAUAAUAUUUGGUACCAGUCAAAAGGAAUUCAUAACGCUUACAAGAUGUUUCAUAAUUUUUUUAAACGUUCAUGUCAUUUAUGGAAAAUUUUCAUUGUGUUAAAAAAUGUUUGCCUUGUAUUUAAAGAUUAAAUCAACAUUUGGCAAAUGUUCAACUUAUAUUCAUAAAAAACUUAAACAUGUAUUUAAAAAAAAUGUUCAACGUGUAUCUAAAAAAUUCAUACUUGUAUAAAAAUACAUUCAAUGUGCAUUUGACAAAUUUACAAUAUGUAUUCAGAUAAAAUGGUCAAACAUGUAUUUCAAAUAUGUUGAAAGUAUAUCUUAAAAAGUGGACCGAGUGUAUACGAAAAAUGUUCAACAUGGAUUCAAUAGAGUUAACAUAUAUUUGAAAAAUAAGGAAAAAAAGAAAAGAAAAUCCAAAUAAUGCCAAUGAAAACUGAUAACGGGGAGAGGACGCAACAAGCACACUGCGGCCGUCGAAGAUCAGCAUAUGGUGAUCUGACUAGCAGCUUGGACAGAGAUGCCGCCGCGAGGGAAGUCAAAGAAGAAGAAGGAAAAGAGGCAGGGCAUGGCGCCGCCGCCGCCGGCCACGGCGGCCGCGGCAAGGAGAAGUACUAUGGAGGAGGCGGCGCUUGAGAUUGGAUGGGAAUCCGCCCGUGUCGCCUAGUCGAGCGGCGCAGGGGCGAUCCGUUAUUUCGGGGGAACAGGUUCGGGAUAGUAGUAGCCUAGGUUCCUUCAUUAUAGUUGUAUCUGUAAAAUAAAUCCAGAUAGUUUACACAUCCAUUUUUAUUUCAGCUUGAAUGCGGAUGUUGAAUCGUCAUAUAAUUUUUCCCUAGAAUAUGAACGUACAAAUAGCUUGAAGGCUACGUCGUCGCCCAUAGCUACGAGAUGCGACUCACACGGGCCUGCCCGCCGAACCCGCUGUAGAGCUGGCCGUCUAGGAGAGCCGCGUGUCUUUCCAUGGUGGUGCAGACGUAGAAGUCUCCGUCCGGCGUCUCGUCUUGAAGGAGCCGCUUCCGAGGAGCGCGGCCACGACGAAUGGGCUCCUGGUCUCCUCUGUGGCGCCGGUGAACCUGGCAAGCAGGACGCUUUUGGCUUUACCCAUUCCAGGCAUGCGAAAGUAGGUACGGACCACGGCAGCGCCGUCGACGACGAUGGAACCCUCGGUGUCGGUGGUUGACCCUGACGCCGCGGCCAGGGACAGGCGACGGCGCUUGGCCUUGCUCGUGUAGCGCCCGUGCACUGGAUCCAUCCAGCCGACGCUCUCAGAGUCCGACCGCGCUGCAAAAACCAACAAAACCAACAACAGCUGAGAGACCUCAACAAGGGUGUGAAUCCGGCCAGUACCAGGUACCAACCUCCGUCCUUCCCUCCGGUGGAAGGACUUGAGUGGCAAAGCUUUCUUUGCCGUCUACAAGUCCACAGUGGAUUCAGUCUCAUAUAUCAAUGGCGCGUACUCUCAAGCGAGUUAAAUUCACCUUUGCUUCCGAGGUGAUGAUGUCUCCUUCUAAUUGUGCCGGCCGAUACGGCCGAGGUUUUUUUUUAAAAAGGAGGAUGACCCUCGGCCUCUGCAUCUGGGCGAUGCAUACGGCCACUUUAUUAAUUAUUCUCACAAGACCUUAUAAAGUAAUACAACAGUAAGACUAAAGCCGCCAUCUAAGCAACAAACUGCCGCUACACCUAUCCAGUUGAUGAAGGGGCGCAGAUAGCCUGGGCCUAAUACCAAACAGACAUCGCAGCCAAACGUAACAUCUAAGACCUGAGGUCCCAUCCAGGACGCCUGCCGGGCAUGGGUCUCACUGGUCUGGCGUGCUCUCAAAGGCCGCCGCCGCCAACUGCCACNNNNNNNNNNNNNNNNNNNNNNNNNNNNNNNNNNNNNNNNNNNNNNNNNNNNNNNNNNNNNNNNNNNNNNNNNNNNNNNNNNNNNNNNNNNNNNNNNNNNAGCACCUAAAAUAGCCUCGGGACGAAAUUUAUGAAGUGGCAUCUUGUAUAUUUCGUCCAAGGCUUCAUGCACCCAUUAUGGUGGCUUCAAAGUCCUGAAAUCAUCACUUGUAACUCCGUUCUUGUUCCCCUUGCGCAUGCCAUCAUCUCCAUGCUUGUUCUUGCUCCAAUGUUCAUCCUUCUCCAAGCUAGGCCCUUCAUUUGUAAGCAAAACAAAUGUAUCCAAUUUAGGCAGCAUCAUAUUCUCAUGAACAUUAGAAUCAUUACCAAGAAACGAAAGUACCUGGUAAUUUAGUUGGCGUGCACGAGCUCUAGUAAUUGGUCCAGUAUGUAUAGCAGCAGGGGCUGUGGGUGUAACAAUUGUAUUGAUGUCCUCAUCACAAAGGAAAACUAACACGCAUGCUGAUGCAUCUCAAUGAUUCACAGAUCAUAGCCAAUAUUUACUUCACAACUAAAGACAAAAGUUGUGAGAGCGUGUACAAAAGAAAAACUACUGAUGGGGUCACUACGACUUAAACCCUAAACCCUAAACAGGAUUUAAUUUCCUGGCUAGGUAGGACCUGUCGAUGGAAAGACGGCUGGCACCCUCGGAUCAUAUGAUGCUUUUGUGCAGUUCCACUAAAAUCAAGCUGACCAUCCCUGAUGGCAAAGAUAUUGAAGCAGUGUGAUUAGAAUAAUAGUACUGACACUAGUUCAUGAGACAUAAACUCAUCACAAAUAGAAGAGGGUAGAAGUAGAGAAAGAUCAACACGGAGAUGGAGCUAUGUGGGGAGCUGCAGUAGUGGAGCAAGCCGGCUCCAAAUGGAAGAUGUACUACUUGGGACGUCAGGCUGUAGCUAGAAGGGCGGUUGGGACGCGACAUCAACCCAUACCGCGAGGACCCCCGAUUGGGACGCACGGACUAUGGGUUUUCUCCCUCGCCGAUGUCGACCACGUCUACGCAGAACAUUGCUCCCUUCCCCAGCGGUGGGAUUAGGCCGGAUAUGUGACCAGCGGUGUGGCCAUCGUCGUUCUAUGCUUGUGAAGAGAGCAACCCAAGAAAGCAGGCUUGUAUCUUAGGCUCUUGCUAGUGUAUAUAUAGUGGUUUCCUUUUUCUCUCCAUAUCAACCAUUUUAUAUUGCGUACGUGCAUUGACGAGUGAAAUGAUGGUUGCUUCUUCCGACUAACUUACUGUGUGAUUUGGCUGCUCCUUAGUGGCCCCUACAUGUACUCCCCCUACGUGUAUGACCGUUCCUGAGUCUCACUUGUACUUAUCUCUAUUUUCUUGCAUGACAUGUGGACAGGAUGCGCAUAGAGGAAUUUUGUUACCGCAUGCUGUUACGUAGUACUGUACUACUAGUCCCUACUCCCUCCUUCCGGUUCACUACUAGUACUCCCUCCGUCCUGGCUUAUUGGUCCCCAUUGUACUCAAUUCAUGGGCUCGUUUUCCUCAAGAAAAUUGUCUUUACCAAUGUAUUAAUAUCGGGAACGCAUGCGUGAACAACGAAUGAUUAAACCUUGCAUGCAAAGUUUUGACAAACCAUUGACUUAUGAACAUGUGAAUGUAAGGGACUACAACCUCGUGCAUGCAUGCAUGCAACAGUCACAUCUACACAUGGAUGCAAAAACGUGUGUGACGCCCUAAUGCAUGCAUGUCCGAGCACACGACGGAACACACACGGUCACGCUCAAAUGCUUAACCUACACGUGCAUGAGCACACAUACUCAGCCAGGGUGAUCUAGUUACUGUAUAAACACCGGAAAAUGUAUAUAUUGAACGCAAUGAGCAUAUUAUGAAGUCCACUGACCGUAUUUUUACAAAUAUACAGUGACAGAUAGUGUAUUUAUCUGAUUUGAAAUUAAGCCAUAUUAACCGGAGAGGAGGCAGUAUGGACUAGCAUUACUUUGAUGUGUCCCGUCAACUUGCCAAACAAGGAGAAGCCUGCAGGACGGGAGAAGCUUGCGUGCGGUGGCUCGCAGGACAAGGAGAAACUUUUGACUAAUGCAAGCUCUCCCUCGCUCAGGCGGUGGACGUGCAACAGUUAAUUCGGUGUCAGAUUGCCAGAAGCAUACACUAUACUAGUACUAUUAUUGUUCGACUUCCCGAAGAGGCGAACAGCCAAGCACAAAGUUUACUAGUACUAGUCUACUACUAUAGUCUAUAGAGGUAUGUACUAUACUACUAGGAACUGGAUGGAGGAGUGUCUGCACUCUUAUUACAUUUUAAAAUGUAAUAAAGCAAUCUUCAACACAUUUGGUUCUCUUCGAGGGUUCUCGCAUGUGAUAAUGGAAGUUGAUUGCAUGGAACACUCGCCACAAUUCUCGCUUAAUUCUGGCUCAUAUCCUGUUACAAAUAGGAGCGCUCGGUAAUAUUUCCCCUUUUUUUGUUAUUUAGUAUGUAAACAGGUCAGCAAACCUUGCAACACAUCUUUGUGCGAACCAUGCUUGCUGCACAUUAAAUGUGACCGAGAGCUGGCUUGAUGAAACACCUCGCUUCCUUCUUCAUUUUUUGUGGGGUACCUCGCUUCCUAGUGACCAGUCUCUUGGCUGAUCGUCCUAAGUAUGCUUAUAUAUGAAUAAAGCUCUCUCAAUUACCCGCAAAAAAGAUUAAGCCAUAUUAACCGGAAAGGAGGGAGUAUGGACUAGCACUACUUUUUGGUGUGUCCCCUCAACUUGCAGAACGAGGAGAAGCUUGCAGGACAAGGUGAAGCUCGCUUACGCCUUUUGUCUAAUGCAACCUACCCUCGCCCAGGCGGUGGACAUGGAUCAGUUCAUUCGGUGUUAGAUUGCCAGAGGCAUACACUUUAGUACCCAACAUGUGGACUACCAUCAUUGUUCGACUUCACGAAGAGGCUAAAAGCCAAGCGCAAGGUUUAGUAGUACGAGUAGUACUACUACUAGAACCGCAUGGUGAAGUGUCUGUACUCUUAUUUUAAUUUAAUCUCCGAUAAAGUACACAUUUAUUCGGGAGAAGGGCGGAAAACGGCAGCCCAAUAGUAUAGUAUUAAAAAACAUCGAACAUUUAAUGAUGAUAUCGAUCAACCAUGCUCGAAUGUAUCUUGGCCUCUGCGUGAGCCCGUCUGUGUGUUCUCGCUCCUUGUCUCUCUCAAGGAAAAGAGGGUUGGCCAUUUUGCCGUCAAUUGAGAUCAGUUUGCUCACACUCUGGUCCCACAUGUCAGUGAUAUGCCAAGAGGAGGUGCCUUGACCGACUGGCCAUGCGCGUACUUGGUUUUGCACCUUCAUACUACUCCCCCCUCUGUCACAGUUUACAUGGCGUGCUUCAUUCUGAUGCAUUUCUCUCAAUGCAUUUCCACCACCAGAGAGACUUUAGACGUGUUUGGUUUAAUGCUCAAUUAAUUAGGGCGUGGUAACCGCAAUCAAGUCCACAAUUUUCUCUCGAUGUACUACGGAGUGGAGUAAGUGCAUGCAUGUGUGUACCCGGGGUGGGAGCACUGCAUGCAUGUGUGUAUGCAUUAUUUCCUCUAGUAAUAGACGCCGUGCUACAACUACCAAUGCUAUUUUUCAGGCCGAUCUUUAGUCGCCUUGGUCCCAGAGAUUUUUUCUGAAACACGCUCUAUAAAUAGUGACGGAUGUAGUAGUAUGAGCGGAUUCAAAGAAGCACGUAUUGAUGGUUGCUUCUUCCGAGCAACUUAUAGUGGGAAAGGUGGAGCUUAUGAUUUGACUGCUCAUUACUCACUAUUAAUGCGGCGAAAUGACCGGGCUGAGUCUCCCAUGCGGUUGUGCACUACUCCCUUGGUUCUUAAAUAUACUCCGGAGUAUUUGUCUUUCUAGAGAUUUCAAUGAGUGACUACAUACAAAGAAAAAUGAGUGAAUCUACACUCUAAAAUAUGCCCACUUGAAAUUUGUAAAAAGACAAAUAUUUAGGAACGGAUGAGUAUAAUUUUGUGCAUGGCACAUGGACCCGGAUGCUAAAGAGGCUUCUGGCAAUGCUAUCAAGCUUCCAGCAUUUCUUUACAUAAUUCACGUACUAUACAAAUGAUUUUCCAGCGACAUGAAAUUGUACAAUGCUCUGAGCUUUCAGCUUUUGUUUCGUAUGUUUUGCCAUCGAUGCUUGUUCGGAAACAAUAAAAAACUAACUUCCUUGCUAAUGCAUCUCAAUGAUUAGCAGACCAGAGCUAAUAUUUACAUCACAACUGAAGACAAAGUUGUGAGAAGGUGUUAAACUAGAAUUGAUCCAUGCUUUCAUUGACAACAACGCCCCCCAGCUUUGUCUAAAUCAACAAGGCAUGUUGGGAAAAAAAGUAGCUGUCUGGAGCAUGCAACAUUCCGAUCAUUUGUGCAGUUCCACUAAAAUAGAGCUGAGCGUCCCUAUUCUAAAGAUAUUAAGUGUGAUUACGCUAAUAGAGGACUGUUGAUGAAAGAAUAAACACACAAAUAGAAGCCGGUCACCUUUGCAGUCUCUCUUAAAACUAAAACUAACUAGUUGGAUAAGAUUAGGCUUGGAGUUGGAUGAGGAGGAUAGAGCAAAACCAAUCUCCCUUUGUCCAGUCGUACUAAAAUGUAGAGACGUUGCCCGUGUGACAUUUUAGUACAACUGCACAAAACACUCUUAAGAAAAAAUUGAUUUGUGUAGUUCACCAAAAGGUCGCAAUAGCAACGAGCUGAAAUGGAUAGCCAUAUUUGCAAAAAAGAGGUAGAAAUGAAACAAUUACUGGCCAAUAACAGUUGAUGAAACAUGCGACGACAAAAAAGAAGCAUAUUCCUUGUCCUAAUGGAAGAUAACAACACGGUUGUGUUUGUUUAAAAUGGUGUGAGGAUGAUAUUGCAAUAUGGAAAGUAUGUCGGACGAGCUACAUUUUGGGCAAAGAACUAUGGAUGAUCCACACGCAAGAUUUUCCACAUGCAGCGACGUCGGAAGAUGGGCAGUGGAGCAAGGCCGGAGGGGAUACCUCGAGGUCAUCGGGAUGUAACUAGGUGAGCGGCGGCGGGCGGGAUCUGCCCAUACUGCGGCAACGAGCAAGUGGCGUAGGGCCUACCGCGUCGGAGCUUGGUCAGAGAGAACGAUCUGUACCGCAGAUCGGGACGUGCUGCCUCGGCGCCGUCGAACGGAGAAACGAUGCACAUCCUCCCUUUCCGCCGGCGGAACGGUGAGGGAGAGAGAGGCCACCGCAGCCUUGUGUGAGAUACUCUGAAGAGAGACAAACCCAGGCAGGCAGGCUCCAUUGUAUAUAGUGGAGCGGACUACCUUUUUCUCUACAAAAGUCGUUUUAUAUUCUGUGUAUGUGCCAUUGAGCGAUAUAACUUUAUUUAAAAAUAACGCGCCAACACAUCAAGUCGAACUUUGUUUCCUGCAUGCAUGGUACACGACCUCCGUAGGUAAACAACCACUACACACGUUCAAAUUAGCACGUGGGCUGCCAUUUCGUACAGAAAUGAGCUCCACUGUGUACCCGCGCGGGUGUGGCUGGGCACGAAGUGUGAGUACAUGCACCUAUUCUCUUCUUGUGUAUGUACACCACCUACGUGGGGUUGUGUGAGAGAGAUACAAACGUAGAGAGAUAUAGUGUGUGGGUUCAUGAGUGUUUUUUUGGUGGUGGUGGUGGGGGGGUCAAUCAAAAAAUAUAACAUAUGUAAUGUGUGUGAAAUAGAGUCCUGGAUAUAUCAUAUAUAUAUAUAGGGGACAAUCCACAAGAAGAGAGUGGAGGUAUCAUCGGCUUGAGGUAUCCAUAGAAUCUAAUAGAGGGAUGGUGUGUGUGUGUGUGUGUGCGCGCGUGUGUGUGCGCGCAUGCGCGAUCGAUAAAGAGUUCCAUCAAAUUUGUGUGUGCCCACGUCAAAGAUAUAGAGUGGCUGUCCUACUGGAACGUGAGGGGGGACAGGUGCAGUUUGUCUCCGUGGCAUGGAUACCUACCUACAACGCUCGACUAUCGGUGUGUGGUGGGGGGUGCCUAAUUAACUAUAGAGGUACAAUGGCUGGUAUAUGUGUGGAGGAGGAGAGAGGCCUACCCUAUGUAUUAAGGGAGAUCGAUCGGCAUCCAUGCAUAUGUGUAGGAGAGGAAUAAGGUUGGGAGAGAGACAGAGCUAGAGUGUUGGAGGGGGUGGUAGUGGAGUUGCUUCUAACAAAUGGUGGGAGAGGCUUGCUAGACAAACGGAGGGCACGCCUGCAAUAUCAAUAAGAGAGGGGAUGGCUGACUGUCUGUGCACGUGCGUGUGAGAGACGGGUCAGGAGGCAUGCACGAAUGAUGAGGGGGGAUGAUAUGGCUGUGGUAAGCAGACGUAACUACAUAGGAAGAUCAAUCGUCCUUUGUCAGAGAAAGGAGAGACAUAACUGUGAGGUACGUCGAUCGAUGGAUGGGGGAAAAAUAGUUAAAGUCGACCUAGGUAUAUGUUGGGAGAUCGAUCGGUAUACAUGCAUGUAUGUGUUAGAAGCAAAUAAGGCACGGGGAGAAGGAUAGAGAGAGAGGGAUGCAUCUAGGAUGUGGCGCGAGAGGCAUACUAUAUCGAGGGGGAAGGAGUGUGCGAGUACGAGAUCAAUGAAAAGAGUGGUGGGAGUGAGGCAUGGACGGUGAUAAGAGAAGAGGGGAAGCUUGUGUUUGUGGUAGGCACACCUAGCUAGAGAGGCAUAUUGAUCGAUGUGUGACGCAAAGAACGAGCUGGUGGGUGGGGCUACACACACCAUGGGAGAAUGACCUAAAGUGAAAAGAUGAAUUUGCGCGAUGGAGCUAGAGAAUGCUGAGGGCGGGUGAGAGGGAUGCGGGUGUGUGCAUGCAGAGAGAAAGUUAGCGCUAGCUACAAAGAUAAGAGGAUCGUGUGGGUGUAAAAGACGAAUAGAGAUCAUAAUUCAUUAUAAAAAGCGAAUUCGGAUAUUUGAAGAAUUUAUCAUAGUGUUUUAAACCGACACAUGUGUGAAUAUAUAUAACAGUGAUACACAUGGUGUGGUUAUGAACACGUUAUACUACAUAUAAUAUAUUUAAUCUCUACUCUUAUAAAAACAGAGUUGUUGAUGAUGGUGUGCCUGCCAUCCUACAAUAUAGGCCAUCCGAUUUAUAUUUGACGGAUAGGAAGGAAACUAUGGCAAGUAUUUAUACCCACACCCCUCUCCAUAUUUGCAAAGAAGGCCUCCCUUUGAUCAUGUUGAUGUUCCGUGGAACGCAGGGGCAUCUUGCUAGUACUACAUAUACUAUAUAGAACAUUGAUUAUAAUUUUGGCUAAUGUGUGGCUUUUGUAGCUUAGGGCUAAAUACUUGUUAUAAUGUAGGGGACGGGGCACUAUACUUUGUGUGAUAAACAUGGUGUACGUAUGGAAGAUGGUUUAGAUUAUGAAUGUAUAGUUAGUACAUCAAAUGUACUAUUAUUUGGAAUCAACAUCAAGUGUAUUCAAAAAAUUGAAUUCGAGUUNNNNNNNNNNNNNNNNNNNNNNNNNNNNNNNNNNNNNNNNNNNNNNNNNNNNNNNNNNNNNNNNNNNNNNNNNNNNNNNNNNNNNNNNNNNNNNNNNNNNAGCACCUAAAAUAGCCUCGGGACGAAAUUUAUGAAGUGGCAUCUUGUAUAUUUCGUCCAAGGCUUCAUGCACCCAUUAUGGUGGCUUCAAAGUCCUGAAAUCAUCACUUGUAACUCCGUUCUUGUUCCCCUUGCGCAUGCCAUCAUCUCCAUGCUUGUUCUUGCUCCAAUGUUCAUCCUUCUCCAAGCUAGGCCCUUCAUUUGUAAGCAAAACAAAUGUAUCCAAUUUAGGCAGCAUCAUAUUCUCAUGAACAUUAGAAUCAUUACCAAGAAACGAAAGUACCUGGUAAUUUAGUUGGCGUGCACGAGCUCUAGUAAUUGGUCCAGUAUGUAUAGCAGCAGGGGCUGUGGGUGUAACAAUUGUAUUGAUGUCCUCAUCACAAAGGAAAACUAACACGCAUGCUGAUGCAUCUCAAUGAUUCACAGAUCAUAGCCAAUAUUUACUUCACAACUAAAGACAAAAGUUGUGAGAGCGUGUACAAAAGAAAAACUACUGAUGGGGUCACUACGACUUAAACCCUAAACCCUAAACAGGAUUUAAUUUCCUGGCUAGGUAGGACCUGUCGAUGGAAAGACGGCUGGCACCCUCGGAUCAUAUGAUGCUUUUGUGCAGUUCCACUAAAAUCAAGCUGACCAUCCCUGAUGGCAAAGAUAUUGAAGCAGUGUGAUUAGAAUAAUAGUACUGACACUAGUUCAUGAGACAUAAACUCAUCACAAAUAGAAGAGGGUAGAAGUAGAGAAAGAUCAACACGGAGAUGGAGCUAUGUGGGGAGCUGCAGUAGUGGAGCAAGCCGGCUCCAAAUGGAAGAUGUACUACUUGGGACGUCAGGCUGUAGCUAGAAGGGCGGUUGGGACGCGACAUCAACCCAUACCGCGAGGACCCCCGAUUGGGACGCACGGACUAUGGGUUUUCUCCCUCGCCGAUGUCGACCACGUCUACGCAGAACAUUGCUCCCUUCCCCAGCGGUGGGAUUAGGCCGGAUAUGUGACCAGCGGUGUGGCCAUCGUCGUUCUAUGCUUGUGAAGAGAGCAACCCAAGAAAGCAGGCUUGUAUCUUAGGCUCUUGCUAGUGUAUAUAUAGUGGUUUCCUUUUUCUCUCCAUAUCAACCAUUUUAUAUUGCGUACGUGCAUUGACGAGUGAAAUGAUGGUUGCUUCUUCCGACUAACUUACUGUGUGAUUUGGCUGCUCCUUAGUGGCCCCUACAUGUACUCCCCCUACGUGUAUGACCGUUCCUGAGUCUCACUUGUACUUAUCUCUAUUUUCUUGCAUGACAUGUGGACAGGAUGCGCAUAGAGGAAUUUUGUUACCGCAUGCUGUUACGUAGUACUGUACUACUAGUCCCUACUCCCUCCUUCCGGUUCACUACUAGUACUCCCUCCGUCCUGGCUUAUUGGUCCCCAUUGUACUCAAUUCAUGGGCUCGUUUUCCUCAAGAAAAUUGUCUUUACCAAUGUAUUAAUAUCGGGAACGCAUGCGUGAACAACGAAUGAUUAAACCUUGCAUGCAAAGUUUUGACAAACCAUUGACUUAUGAACAUGUGAAUGUAAGGGACUACAACCUCGUGCAUGCAUGCAUGCAACAGUCACAUCUACACAUGGAUGCAAAAACGUGUGUGACGCCCUAAUGCAUGCAUGUCCGAGCACACGACGGAACACACACGGUCACGCUCAAAUGCUUAACCUACACGUGCAUGAGCACACAUACUCAGCCAGGGUGAUCUAGUUACUGUAUAAACACCGGAAAAUGUAUAUAUUGAACGCAAUGAGCAUAUUAUGAAGUCCACUGACCGUAUUUUUACAAAUAUACAGUGACAGAUAGUGUAUUUAUCUGAUUUGAAAUUAAGCCAUAUUAACCGGAGAGGAGGCAGUAUGGACUAGCAUUACUUUGAUGUGUCCCGUCAACUUGCCAAACAAGGAGAAGCCUGCAGGACGGGAGAAGCUUGCGUGCGGUGGCUCGCAGGACAAGGAGAAACUUUUGACUAAUGCAAGCUCUCCCUCGCUCAGGCGGUGGACGUGCAACAGUUAAUUCGGUGUCAGAUUGCCAGAAGCAUACACUAUACUAGUACUAUUAUUGUUCGACUUCCCGAAGAGGCGAACAGCCAAGCACAAAGUUUACUAGUACUAGUCUACUACUAUAGUCUAUAGAGGUAUGUACUAUACUACUAGGAACUGGAUGGAGGAGUGUCUGCACUCUUAUUACAUUUUAAAAUGUAAUAAAGCAAUCUUCAACACAUUUGGUUCUCUUCGAGGGUUCUCGCAUGUGAUAAUGGAAGUUGAUUGCAUGGAACACUCGCCACAAUUCUCGCUUAAUUCUGGCUCAUAUCCUGUUACAAAUAGGAGCGCUCGGUAAUAUUUCCCCUUUUUUUGUUAUUUAGUAUGUAAACAGGUCAGCAAACCUUGCAACACAUCUUUGUGCGAACCAUGCUUGCUGCACAUUAAAUGUGACCGAGAGCUGGCUUGAUGAAACACCUCGCUUCCUUCUUCAUUUUUUGUGGGGUACCUCGCUUCCUAGUGACCAGUCUCUUGGCUGAUCGUCCUAAGUAUGCUUAUAUAUGAAUAAAGCUCUCUCAAUUACCCGCAAAAAAGAUUAAGCCAUAUUAACCGGAAAGGAGGGAGUAUGGACUAGCACUACUUUUUGGUGUGUCCCCUCAACUUGCAGAACGAGGAGAAGCUUGCAGGACAAGGUGAAGCUCGCUUACGCCUUUUGUCUAAUGCAACCUACCCUCGCCCAGGCGGUGGACAUGGAUCAGUUCAUUCGGUGUUAGAUUGCCAGAGGCAUACACUUUAGUACCCAACAUGUGGACUACCAUCAUUGUUCGACUUCACGAAGAGGCUAAAAGCCAAGCGCAAGGUUUAGUAGUACGAGUAGUACUACUACUAGAACCGCAUGGUGAAGUGUCUGUACUCUUAUUUUAAUUUAAUCUCCGAUAAAGUACACAUUUAUUCGGGAGAAGGGCGGAAAACGGCAGCCCAAUAGUAUAGUAUUAAAAAACAUCGAACAUUUAAUGAUGAUAUCGAUCAACCAUGCUCGAAUGUAUCUUGGCCUCUGCGUGAGCCCGUCUGUGUGUUCUCGCUCCUUGUCUCUCUCAAGGAAAAGAGGGUUGGCCAUUUUGCCGUCAAUUGAGAUCAGUUUGCUCACACUCUGGUCCCACAUGUCAGUGAUAUGCCAAGAGGAGGUGCCUUGACCGACUGGCCAUGCGCGUACUUGGUUUUGCACCUUCAUACUACUCCCCCCUCUGUCACAGUUUACAUGGCGUGCUUCAUUCUGAUGCAUUUCUCUCAAUGCAUUUCCACCACCAGAGAGACUUUAGACGUGUUUGGUUUAAUGCUCAAUUAAUUAGGGCGUGGUAACCGCAAUCAAGUCCACAAUUUUCUCUCGAUGUACUACGGAGUGGAGUAAGUGCAUGCAUGUGUGUACCCGGGGUGGGAGCACUGCAUGCAUGUGUGUAUGCAUUAUUUCCUCUAGUAAUAGACGCCGUGCUACAACUACCAAUGCUAUUUUUCAGGCCGAUCUUUAGUCGCCUUGGUCCCAGAGAUUUUUUCUGAAACACGCUCUAUAAAUAGUGACGGAUGUAGUAGUAUGAGCGGAUUCAAAGAAGCACGUAUUGAUGGUUGCUUCUUCCGAGCAACUUAUAGUGGGAAAGGUGGAGCUUAUGAUUUGACUGCUCAUUACUCACUAUUAAUGCGGCGAAAUGACCGGGCUGAGUCUCCCAUGCGGUUGUGCACUACUCCCUUGGUUCUUAAAUAUACUCCGGAGUAUUUGUCUUUCUAGAGAUUUCAAUGAGUGACUACAUACAAAGAAAAAUGAGUGAAUCUACACUCUAAAAUAUGCCCACUUGAAAUUUGUAAAAAGACAAAUAUUUAGGAACGGAUGAGUAUAAUUUUGUGCAUGGCACAUGGACCCGGAUGCUAAAGAGGCUUCUGGCAAUGCUAUCAAGCUUCCAGCAUUUCUUUACAUAAUUCACGUACUAUACAAAUGAUUUUCCAGCGACAUGAAAUUGUACAAUGCUCUGAGCUUUCAGCUUUUGUUUCGUAUGUUUUGCCAUCGAUGCUUGUUCGGAAACAAUAAAAAACUAACUUCCUUGCUAAUGCAUCUCAAUGAUUAGCAGACCAGAGCUAAUAUUUACAUCACAACUGAAGACAAAGUUGUGAGAAGGUGUUAAACUAGAAUUGAUCCAUGCUUUCAUUGACAACAACGCCCCCCAGCUUUGUCUAAAUCAACAAGGCAUGUUGGGAAAAAAAGUAGCUGUCUGGAGCAUGCAACAUUCCGAUCAUUUGUGCAGUUCCACUAAAAUAGAGCUGAGCGUCCCUAUUCUAAAGAUAUUAAGUGUGAUUACGCUAAUAGAGGACUGUUGAUGAAAGAAUAAACACACAAAUAGAAGCCGGUCACCUUUGCAGUCUCUCUUAAAACUAAAACUAACUAGUUGGAUAAGAUUAGGCUCGGAGUUGGAUGAGGAGGAUAGAGCAAAACCAAUCUCCCUUUGUCCAGUCGUACUAAAAUGUAGAGACGUUGCCCGUGUGACAUUUUAGUACAACUGCACAAAACACUCUUAAGAAAAAAUUGAUUUGUGUAGUUCACCAAAAGGUCGCAAUAGCAACGAGCUGAAAUGGAUAGCCAUAUUUGCAAAAAAGAGGUAGAAAUGAAACAAUUACUGGCCAAUAACAGUUGAUGAAACAUGCGACGACAAAAAAGAGGCAUAUUCCUUGUCCUAAUGGAAGAUAACAACACGGUUGUGUUUGUUUAAAAUGGUGUGAGGAUGAUAUUGCAAUAUGGAAAGUAUGUCGGACGAGCUACAUUUUGGGCAAAGAACUAUGGAUGAUCCACACGCAAGAUUUUCCACAUGCAGCGACGUCGGAAGAUGGGCAGUGGAGCAAGGCCGGAGGGGAUACCUCGAGGUCAUCGGGAUGUAACUAGGUGAGCGGCGGCGGGCGGGAUCUGCCCAUACUGCGGCAACGAGCAGGUGGCGUAGGGCCUACCGCGUCGGAGCUUGGUCAGAGAGAACGAUCUGUACCGCAGAUCGGGACGUGCUGCCUCGGCGCCGUCGAACGGAGAAACGAUGCACAUCCUCCCUUUCCGCCGGCGGAACGGUGAGGGAGAGAGAGGCCACCGCAGCCUUGUGUGAGAUACUCUGAAGAGAGACAAACCCAGGCAGGCAGGCUCCAUUGUAUAUAGUGGAGCGGACUACCUUUUUCUCUACAAAAGUCGUUUUAUAUUCUGUGUAUGUGCCAUUGAGCGAUAUAACUUUAUUUAAAAAUAACGCGCCAACACAUCAAGUCGAACUUUGUUUCCUGCAUGCAUGGUACACGACCUCCGUAGGUAAACAACCACUACACACGUUCAAAUUAGCACGUGGGCUGCCAUUUCGUACAGAAAUGAGCUCCACUGUGUACCCGCGCGGGUGUGGCUGGGCACGAAGUGUGAGUACAUGCACCUAUUCUCUUCUUGUGUAUGUACACCACCUACGUGGGGUUGUGUGAGAGAGAUACAAACGUAGAGAGAUAUAGUGUGUGGGUUCAUGAGUGUUUUUUUGGUGGUGGUGGUGGGGGGGUCAAUCAAAAAAUAUAACAUAUGUAAUGUGUGUGAAAUAGAGUCCUGGAUAUAUCAUAUAUAUAUAUAGGGGACAAUCCACAAGAAGAGAGUGGAGGUAUCAUCGGCUUGAGGUAUCCAUAGAAUCUAAUAGAGGGAUGGUGUGUGUGUGUGUGUGUGCGCGCGUGUGUGUGCGCGCAUGCGCGAUCGAUAAAGAGUUCCAUCAAAUUUGUGUGUGCCCACGUCAAAGAUAUAGAGUGGCUGUCCUACUGGAACGUGAGGGGGGACAGGUGCAGUUUGUCUCCGUGGCAUGGAUACCUACCUACAACGCUCGACUAUCGGUGUGUGGUGGGGGGUGCCUAAUUAACUAUAGAGGUACAAUGGCUGGUAUAUGUGUGGAGGAGGAGAGAGGCCUACCCUAUGUAUUAAGGGAGAUCGAUCGGCAUCCAUGCAUAUGUGUAGGAGAGGAAUAAGGUUGGGAGAGAGACAGAGCUAGAGUGUUGGAGGGGGUGGUAGUGGAGUUGCUUCUAACAAAUGGUGGGAGAGGCUUGCUAGACAAACGGAGGGCACGCCUGCAAUAUCAAUAAGAGAGGGGAUGGCUGACUGUCUGUGCACGUGCGUGUGAGAGACGGGUCAGGAGGCAUGCACGAAUGAUGAGGGGGGAUGAUAUGGCUGUGGUAAGCAGACGUAACUACAUAGGAAGAUCAAUCGUCCUUUGUCAGAGAAAGGAGAGACAUAACUGUGAGGUACGUCGAUCGAUGGAUGGGGGAAAAAUAGUUAAAGUCGACCUAGGUAUAUGUUGGGAGAUCGAUCGGUAUACAUGCAUGUAUGUGUUAGAAGCAAAUAAGGCACGGGGAGAAGGAUAGAGAGAGAGGGAUGCAUCUAGGAUGUGGCGCGAGAGGCAUACUAUAUCGAGGGGGAAGGAGUGUGCGAGUACGAGAUCAAUGAAAAGAGUGGUGGGAGUGAGGCAUGGACGGUGAUAAGAGAAGAGGGGAAGCUUGUGUUUGUGGUAGGCACACCUAGCUAGAGAGGCAUAUUGAUCGAUGUGUGACGCAAAGAACGAGCUGGUGGGUGGGGCUACACACACCAUGGGAGAAUGACCUAAAGUGAAAAGAUGAAUUUGCGCGAUGGAGCUAGAGAAUGCUGAGGGCGGGUGAGAGGGAUGCGGGUGUGUGCAUGCAGAGAGAAAGUUAGCGCUAGCUACAAAGAUAAGAGGAUCGUGUGGGUGUAAAAGACGAAUAGAGAUCAUAAUUCAUUAUAAAAAGCGAAUUCGGAUAUUUGAAGAAUUUAUCAUAGUGUUUUAAACCGACACAUGUGUGAAUAUAUAUAACAGUGAUACACAUGGUGUGGUUAUGAACACGUUAUACUACAUAUAAUAUAUUUAAUCUCUACUCUUAUAAAAACAGAGUUGUUGAUGAUGGUGUGCCUGCCAUCCUACAAUAUAGGCCAUCCGAUUUAUAUUUGACGGAUAGGAAGGAAACUAUGGCAAGUAUUUAUACCCACACCCCUCUCCAUAUUUGCAAAGAAGGCCUCCCUUUGAUCAUGUUGAUGUUCCGUGGAACGCAGGGGCAUCUUGCUAGUACUACAUAUACUAUAUAGAACAUUGAUUAUAAUUUUGGCUAAUGUGUGGCUUUUGUAGCUUAGGGCUAAAUACUUGUUAUAAUGUAGGGGACGGGGCACUAUACUUUGUGUGAUAAACAUGGUGUACGUAUGGAAGAUGGUUUAGAUUAUGAAUGUAUAGUUAGUACAUCAAAUGUACUAUUAUUUGGAAUCAACAUCAAGUGUAUUCAAAAAAUUGAAUUCGAGUUNNNNNNNNNNNNNNNNNNNNNNNNNNNNNNNNNNNNNNNNNNNNNNNNNNNNNNNNNNNNNNNNNNNNNNNNNNNNNNNNNNNNNNNNNNNNNNNNNNNNCUCUCUCUCUCUCUCUCUCUCUCUCUCUCUCUCUCUCUCUCUCUCUCUUCGAUUGGGCUACAAGAAGCCGAGAGGCAUGACUGGUAGCCAAAACUGGUUUUUCAUCCACGCGCCUUGGUCAUUUUCUUUUACGGGGGCCUUUAUCAUUUUCAUUUCCAAAGAAAGCACAACCUGAACCAACUGAAUGUUUGAAUUCAAAACAAAAAGCCAAAUCAACUUAGUCUUCUCCAGUCUGUGCAAGGAAGGUUCUACUGUCUAUUUUUCCAUGCUACAAGGUAGCUAAUAAUUGACUCGGUCUAGUCGUUGGCUCUUUUUGCUGCCACUUUCUUUCUAUGAGAUAUUAUCUAAGCAUUUAGUUUAAAUAUUCCACAUCUGCUACUAGCAAGCUCAGCAGUUCCACCCUUAGAGAAGAGCAGGGAUAGUAAGCUCUCAGUUCUUCACCUCCUCUCUCGUCUCUCUUUUUCAGUUAUUCAUUAAUUCCCAAGUUUGAGGUGGUACAUACUAAUUCCUCUUUAUCCCUACUGUCCAGAUCCCUUCUUGGAUCGCUUCCGUCCAGAUCUCAACCACACUGUUUUGAGAUGGUACGUACUAAUUCCUCUUUAUCUCUUCAACACAGUCUACUGUAUUUCCUUUUUGUUUGACAGCUGAAAGUAUCAAGUAGCGGCCGAGAUCAAGAACACCACUACAGCAGUUUUUUGUUGAUAAUUUGGUUUACAUAUGUUAACACAUGCGAAGCAGCCAUCACUUUGUUGAACAAUCUCUUAGUAUAUUAUAGAUGCUGGCAAAAACUAAGUUUGAAAAAGGAAAACAUACACGAUGCUGGUAAAUGCCAAAACUAAGUCAGUUGAUCCCCCGAAUAUAGAUUUGUUAGAUGUCUAGCUUGAACAAAGUAAACUUACAAAUAUAUUGUGACCUCAAGAACUUACUUAUUUUAUAUACAUAAUGAUGAGAUAACCAUUGUAUUGGAGAAAGUCUGCUUUUUGUCCCCGAACCAAAUAUAAUGGUUUUGGGUUCUUAAAUUCAAAAACCCUGCCAAUUUGGCUCUUGCUUUACAAAACCCGCUCAGUUUCGUUGAUGGUGAUAUGACCAGGGUUUUACACACAUGCAACCCAGUCAAAAAAAUGAAUUUAAUGAAACUAAAUUAUCUGUGCAACCAAAGAUAAAAAACUCCAGAAAUUACUAAAAUAAAAGAAACUAUUAUAGUAAUAUAGGAAAUGCAUUAAAAAAUUAUAAACAAAGAAGAAAUUUUAGAAUCAACCUGGCAAACUAGGUAAUUAGAGCAAACUUUGAAAUAAUUUCUGAACAUUAACUUCAAAAGAAACUUUUGAUUAUCAUUUAUGUAUAUGUACUAUUUUAGGUAUUCUCAGAUUUGCUAGUUUUGUAGACAAAUAAUUUUAAAAAAAAUUCAAAAUGUUUGGAUUGCAGUUUUUUCUCCAAAUUCAAACAAGCAUAAAUAUAUUAUUUAGCUUCUCAUUUUAAAUUUUUUAUUUAAUAUUUUAAUCUAAUUUUCAGUAGAUUUUUUCACUCUAAACAUAUUUUUACUUGUUGCUAAUUACUUGGUCAUGACGUCAUGUUGGGGUUGUAAUAUUGAUUUAGGUUGGACUAUUGAACCGUUCCCGUGGAUUGGCGGAAGGAGUGGCGGUUAUGAUAUGCCCAGUGCUUCUCGCACUUGCUCUCAACAUAGUUGACCUGAAUGAUGAAGUGUACGGACAUGGAGUCCCCAUUGCCCUGAUUGCCAUGGCAGGCUUUACUUUGAUCACCGGCAUUUGCCCCUUCAUGUUGUGCUGCUUCUUACAGGGGUUCCCGAGAAGUAGCGUGAUCCUGGCAAUCACUUCGUCUGCUUGCCUCGUCAUGCUCGCCUAUUUCAUUGCACACUUCAUUAUCUUCAAAUCCGUUUUUAUCACCCUUGGAGUCCUGUGUGGAAUUUUGCUCAUGCUGCGAACCGUCUGCUACUACUACUACUUGUAUGAUAGCCAAAAUGGCAAUGUUCCAGAAUACACGGCCAUAAUGCAAAGCGUACUGGAUGAAUCACAUGAGUUCUUGACCGGCGUCACUGGAAUUCUUUUUCUGGGGUUCCAAGGUUUGACUCUUGAUGGUGACGUUCGGACAAUAAGUCGCAUGGGUGGGGAACCAAUGGGUUACAUCAGCUUCAUCUUCAUCACUCUAGGUGUGGGAUCAAUGCUCCUCGAGAUGACCCCACCUAAAAGUUUUGGAGAGAGAAAAGUUGUGCGUCUGACUAUCCUCCUUGACUGCUUCAUGGCGGCUGGUAUCUUCAUGCUAUUGUUGGUUACCAUGCGUAAGCACACGCAGCUUGAGAUGGUUGCCCUGUUGGUCUUUGUGCCUCCGAUUAUAAGCUUCAGUUCACUUCUCUUCCUAGUUUUGUUCCCGUUGGAUGGACAAGAUGAUGAAGACCCCAAGCCAGCGUCACUGGAACUGACAAAGGUCACGUUCACCGGAUUCUUGGCCGUGUCGAUAAGAACCAUCAGCAACACUUCGCCGAACAAGUUCACCGGAUUCUUCUUACUAUUAUCCUCCAUGGCUAUUGGGUUUGGACUCUCAUGGAGGCUCCUUUCACAGAACAACACAAAGAGUGGUCUCACUAAUAUUGAUGUUUCACCUGCUCAUGUUGCUUCUGCCGCCAAGAUUGCUUCCAUUUUGACCCACUUUUGUAUUUUAAUCACCACUAUUCUAUUUGUCGCAAUGGCUAGUACUGCCAGCGGUAAAUGAUCGGCGCCAGUUGGCAGAAAAACUAUUGUGUUUUAGAUAUAGUAUUGAACAUAUAGGAUAUCUUUCUGCAUAAUGUUUAGCACCCGCACAUAUAUGUUGAGUAAAGUGUAUGAAAACUAUUUGCCAAGUCAAGUAUGUAUUAAAACUGUGAAAUUGGUCAAUCCAGAUACUAGAAGUACAUUAAAUGAGCCAACACAUGACUUAGCAAGGCGAAUGAGUCCCACACAAGCAGACGUGGCAUGUUAUGUACUCCCUCUGUUUUUAUUUACUUCGCAUAAUAGCUUUGUCUCGGGUCAAACUUUCUAAAUUUGACCAAGUUUCUAUAUUUUCAUACCAAAAAUAUUUUUUAUUGUGAAAGUUUAGAUUGUUUUCGAUGAACUUGAGCAAACUUUAUAAAAAACUCCGACAAUGAUGUCAUAAAUUACUGAAUAACUUCCGAACCAUGCAACGUAUUAUGAUGGUUGAAAAUAGUAGGGCUUUAGUUCCUUGCUUUUGGAAAAUGAUGGUAUACCCUGGCCUAUGUAUCCUUUGAUGAAAUGGCUAUUUGACAUGAGAUGGCAAGAGACUGGUGUCACGUCGUCUCCCUAUUGGCCUUUGUAGAAACAGUGAAAUUGGUCAAUCCAGAUACUUGCAUGUAUCCUCUUCGUCCCUUGGUUAGUGCUUAAUUGGCCUUUGUAGAACUUAUGGUGACCCUUAGCUGAUAUACUUUCUAAAAUUGAUUGGAUAUUCUCAUGAAGUAUUUGGCAAAGCAAACCCAUUUAACAAAAUAAAAAAAAUAGUGUGGUUAGCAGCCAUGGCGAUUCACGGUUGAGGGAUCCUACAUCACUACUGUAGUAGGUGUUUUGCUCGGGGGCACUCGAUGCACAUACACGACCCUUCUCACGAAGAGGAUACUUCCACCGUUGCCAUGGACGGCAGCCUGUUUCCAUCAAAAUCGCCUUGGUCCAUGCCCUAACCCCUCCAAAGGAGCGGCGCUAGCUGAUUUGCCGCCGUUGGUUUUGGCUUCUCCUCACUCCUCACCGUGGCGGAGAACCAAGCUAGAGUUUCGGACCAUGACGAUGACAUGUCACAACUCCUCUAGGCUCGACUCUUCGGAGGAGGGAGGAGUGGCCAAUCCAAUGGUUUGACAAUAGGGCGAUAAAGUCAAAGAGCAACCCCGAAAACCGGAGGCUACCAGGAAGACGCAGCUAAUCUGCACCCGAGCUCAAAUGAGCUCGGGUGAACAGUACAACCGAAAAAAAAUUCAAAAAAAUUCAAAAUUUUUUUGGGAGAAACAUUGACAAAAGUUCUAAGUGCCUGCAAAAAUUCGUCAUGAAAUCACAUUCCUAGAAGGCGUGGCAAAAAAAACAAAAACAGUACUCUGAAAAAAGCUACUUUCAAACGCAUUUUGAAGCACUGAAUUUGUUUUUUUGCCACGCCUUACAGGAAUGUGAUUUCAUGAUGAAUUUUUGCAGGAACUUAGAACUUUUGUCAAUGUUUCUCUCAAAAAAAUUUGGAAUUUUUUAAUUUUUUCUGAUUUUUUUUGAUUUUACUGUUCAUGCGGGAGCAUAUGAGCUCGGGUGCAGAAUGGACUUUUCGCUACCAGGAUUGAUUCCCUUUGCAUCGCUUCUUAGCAGGGGCCCUGCGUUUUAUUCUGGCAAGUUGGGCCAUGUCCACAACAUUUUAAGCAGAGGCACACAAUAAUCCGGGCCUACAGCAGAUGGAUCUGGAGAAGGGGCUUUGUGCGGGAGAAAAGAGGGUUGAGUGGGCAGAGCCCGGGGGAGGGGUGUAGGUGUUUGAGAAAAAUAUAUGGUGCUGGGAGGGGACCAACGGUGGCUUGUGGGAUAGGCGGGGUGGGGAAGAAAGAGGGAAGGGAGAUGGGUAGGUUGCUAUCGUUUGAUCCAUUAUGAUCGGAUGGCUGUAUUCGGCAAUCGGUUGGAAGGCAGGGUGGAUCAAUCAGAAUGUAGGAUGGGCCUAGCGUUGAAUCCAUAACCAUCUUUGUCAAGUAUACUUACAAGAACAUUCGACUAUACCUUAAAAAAUAUGUUUUACACUUCUUCUUUAUUUGUUUAUUUUUUAUUUCUUUCUUCAUUUCUUCGUUUAAAUCUUUGUUUCUUUGUUUAUUUACUUCUUGUUUUUAUUUUAUUUCCUUCCAUUUAUUUCAUUUCAUUUCUUAUAUUUUUUUUUCUUUCCUGUUUUUUUCUAGCGGGGGGCUCUCCUCCACUCUCACCCCUGUUAAAAUUUGAAUUUUAUCCUUCCAAUGACAAGAAAUGUAUAAAAUGGCUUAAAUAUAGCAAAUGAACCCACAAAAAUACAAAAUUUUGACUUGGAAUAUGUGAUGCUCAUGUUUAAUGUAGAAAAAGUUUCAAGUUCAUACGAUAAAGUAAUCAACACCUCAACUUCAACCCUGGCCUAUUCCUUCUCGAAACCACAAUUCUAAGAACCAUUUUGAAAAGUUCACCAUAGUCUCUAGGAAUCAUAUAAUGAGAGCAUGCCAAGUUUCAAGAGAUAAAGAGAGAGAAGAAGCCAUCUAUGUUUAGACCUUCUCCAUGAAACAAAAGGAAUUUUGUUUCAUGGAUAAGGUCUAAACAUGGACUCAUUACACAAGUUGGAUUUUUCAGCUCAUUUUCAGCAAAUUUCUAAUGCACUUGCAGUUCAAAUUUGAAAUGUAUCCAUUAAAUGCCUUGUAAUGCAUUUCUUUGCAAGGUAAUAGUUGGUUUAUAUCAUAUGUACCAUAGGAUUACAACAACUAUCUUGGACAGAUACAAUAUCUUGCGGUGGGUAAGAUCCCACCAUACCAGAAAUUUCAACAUAACGUACCAAGGCGUCACAAAGCGCAUUCUGAUUCCUACUAAUCUUAUCAAAUUUAAUCUCUUGAUCACCAACAACAUCACGAAUAUCUUGAAUGUUUCCAGCAUGCAUUGAAAGCAUCUUCCUGGAUGUAAUCUCCUUCACUGCCUGAGCAGAGUCUGACUCAACAAUUAUGUUGCACUAUUGUAGGGCCAGCAGGAGACCCUCAUGUAAAUCUUCUAAAUCAGUUUGGAAAGCACAUGUACAGUUACACAGACUUAGGCAUACAAUGAAAGUAAUGUUCCCCUUCUAGUCUCGAAGGUCUAUACUAGAUCCCGCCGAUAAAUCUACAUUUAUGUAAGAACUGUAAUUGUUUAGUUUCGCCGAGCCGGAUUAUGGUCUACGCAAGUUAAACGUCCAUCAUUCAGCAUUUUCCUGGAUACACUUUAUCGAAAGACUACUCGGCAUGCUGUCAUUUUAUUUGAAUCGUCUAAAUAUACCAUAUCCGAUUUUAUCCGUCUAAUCAAAGAAUGUCUUUAUGUACAACUAAUCAACAAAUGUCUAUGACGUCUAUGACGUUUAGUUCUUGGGCUUACUUCUUACACAAGCCACGAAAACAAGAUCUUCUGUUCCUGCGAUUUUUUCCAAUAAAAAUAAAUAUAAGUAGAACAUUUCUUUUAUUAUACGCGCAUCCAGCUGGUUCCGGUAUCGAUCGUACUGUGUGGUCGUGUGGAUACUGGAUGCUGACCAUGGAUUCAAUAGAUGGAGAUCCCUGAGUAGGACAAGAUCGGCUAUUAUCAUCAAGUUGCCCAACCUUUCAUUUCAAUGAAGCAUUAUCAUCGUACCAGAAAAAUUGUGCAAAUUUUAGAAAAUAAAUUUAAAAAUAUGUGGUUACCUUGUGACCAGAAAGUGGUGGUUCUGAUUGGCCAGUUUGUCCCAACGUAACAUCACCAUAUACGGGAAACAACAUGUAAAGACAAAGGAAAAUGCCAGGGCCAGUACUACUGUACUAGGAAUGAGCUGGAGACAAAGACUGGGACAUUAAGAAACAUUGCUGCCAUCUACGAAGACCACUCAAUUGUUCCACUGGAGAAAAUGACAGUGAAGAAUUUGACAGCAUUCAGCAUCCAGGACGUACGAAUAGCUAUGAUUCGUUCAGUUUUCUCGCUUUCGUGCUUCGUCGAAUCUUCUUCAUUGAAGAUCAGCAUAAACAAAACCCAAGGUCCAAUUAAUGUACAGUGGAAAGUUCAAUGCCGGGACCAAUGGAACAACACGCCUAAUGAAGCCUUAUCUAGACAACAAGGAUUGGCUGCAACGCCUCCCCUGAUCUGGCCGGUGCUUGUCCGGCUGUUGUUCGGGGCCUGGCCGUUAACUUGAUCGGCGAUAGUUGCGGCGUUGUGACAUCGAUGGCGGACGUGCAAAGAGCUGAUGUGGUGCGGGGGGAUGUUGCAGCUAUGGCUUUGCUACAUCUAAGGCGCCAUAGACCUCUACCACAGUGGCUGAAGAGCACGUGCACGAGACGUGUUGAAGCUCUCAUGUUGAUGUUUUAUUCUCUGCAUGGUGCAGCACUUCGUGUCUGCGUGGAUGUCUUUGAUAGCUUAGGGCUAUCCAAGCCAAGGUUAUGGAUACGAGCGGAUGUAUAUGGGCACCCUACACAUACACCUAAAUAGUUGAUGCCAACUAUCUCAAUUCUCUCAUCAUGCACAUAUGCCUCUCCAUCAUACAUGCCACGUCAUCGCCUCAUUAAUUAUUUCUCUAAACAUGUAUGGGAAAUGCUAUUUAUAUUCUCUAUUAACACACACACACACACACACACACACACACACACACACACACANNNNNNNNNNNNNNNNNNNNNNNNNNNNNNNNNNNNNNNNNNNNNNNNNNNNNNNNNNNNNNNNNNNNNNNNNNNNNNNNNNNNNNNNNNNNNNNNNNNNCCCCCCCCCCACAAAAAAAAGUAUCUAUGGGGGUCUAUCCUGGAAUCAUUACUAUCACUUCUUUUUGUCUUUUUAACAAUCUUAUAUGGUUAUCAUUUUCCUGUUACAACAACCAGCAGAUCUUAUUGAUGCUUACGCCAUAAUUGGUACUGAAAUAUCACGGGUAAGCUCAGCUGACAACACAUUUCCUCUUCCUCCUUUUAUCUUUUAUUGCUUUCAAAUAUAGUUCACACUUUUAUAUGGUUUUGGUCACCGGUUCUAGGCUUUGUACCCUCAUCCUUGGAAAGCUUGAUGGGCAUUUGUGCGGUCUCUCAGAGUUUCCGAUGGAUAGAUACAUGGCCUUUCCAUGCGUCCCAUGUUCGAUCAUCGGUUAGCUUUGGUUGUAUCUCUUUUCAGCAAUGGAAUACUUAUCUCUUAUUGCGUUCUACCAAAGUCGGCCUGCUUACUAGUUUCUCAAGCGGCAUGUCCAUUAUAGGGGUUUUAAUUUGGAAGAUGGAGCUUGCUCCCUAGCUUCUCAAGGCUUCGUCCCGCGUGUUGACCAAUUGGAUGUUCUAUGCCAACACUUUUCCUCAUCUCGAGCGCCCCGUCUCUACCACGAUGGCAUACUUGGGUAGCUUUUGGCUAUAUAGGAUGGUCAACUGUGUGUCUCUCUGCUAGUGGAAGUCGGACUGCGGUUUCGUUGUAACCAUAUCUAGCUUCACUCAGUAAAGACUAUGUGGAAGCCUCUCCACUGCGAAGCAACUAUUCUGCACCCAACCUACACGUGCAUCGCUCUUCAGCAACACAUUACGUGUCCAUGGUGAUCAUUGUAAUUUUUUGUUACUUAAGUUGUUUCUAUAAUUGAGAUCAUUAGGUCCCUAUUUUGUACCUCUUGUUUCAUGUAAUACAUGGAUAAUACUUCACAAAAAAAUGCUUUUAAAGCUAUUUAUUAUUGUCUUGUUUAACAAUAAAUCUUGUUGUCUUUAGGAUUAGAUUUGAACGUAAAGUAGCAGGGUGAGCCGAGGUUAAAUGCUGUUUUCAACUAUUUAUGUGUGCACUUGUGGAUAACAAUGGAUUCUUCACCUACUCAACCACUUUAUUAUACAUCUUCAAACAUUUUAGUGCAAUAAGUUCCUUCCUGUUACCCUUGAAGAGAAAAAGUUAUUGCACCAUAAUGAGACCUCUUAUUUCCCACAUCUACGAUACCUCCUCACAAUGCUUAAAGAAUAGAACCGGUUUUGUCGUUUACUGGGCAACUGAAAAGUAACUAUUUAUAAAAUCGAAGCUAAGAACCAUCUAAUUUGAUCAUUGAGAUCGUGUAAGUACAAAAAUCGACCAUAAAUAGCUACUCCUUGAUAAAUAAAAGGCUCAGAAAAGAACCCUCUCAAAACACACUCUCAAGACCUUUCUUGCACAAAAUAAAUAAAGCGAAGGAAAGCUAGAAAAGGGAUAGAAAGAAAUAAAAAAUCAAAAAAUAGUCAGAUGUGGAGGAUUAGGGGUUUGUCUUUCGCUUUAUGUGUCAAGCUGAGAGCCACCACUAGUUAGAGGGUGUCAUCCCCAUAGACUUUUUUCUUCGAUAGUGGAUAAUAUAUGAAAAUCAAGAAGAUAGCAAUUACAACCAGUCUUAUGCAACAAUAGGAUAUCAAGAACAAGUCGAAAGAUUAAGGGCGCACAUGACCAAAUUAUUUAAAAAGAGGAAAUAAAACCGUUGUACAGAGCAUAGCCUCAUUUGCUCUUGGUGCAAAGUAAGUUUGAAUGAGAAAAAGGUAAAAUAGUUCAGAGAAAUCUGAAAGGUUUAGGCAUCCAAGAUGCUUGGGUGUGCUAGGAGUGUGCAAAAGUUUUGCCGUCCAUAUUUUUUUAUGACGAGCUCCUCGAAUGUCAUUUUGGAUUUAAACAAUGGGGUCCAAAUCAUUGGAUGUGUAAUGAAGCGAACUAAUGGUUAUUUUAGCUCUGUAAUACAGUUUACCCCCGUUCAGUUUUCUGUACUAGUGAUGUUUUUAAGUUUCAUUGUGCUUGUCACAAUUAGGACUGCUUUUAUGUGCGGUGUGAGAGUAGAAGAGAGAGUUUACUGCAGGUAUGAAGGCACACUAUUAGUAUAAGUAUACACAUAACAGUAUGUGACCGGGGCACGCCACUGAUAACCAAUUUGCACACGCCACUAAUGACGUUGCCUUUUUAUUUCUCCCUGCCGGAGGCGGAGAGUGCUACCUUUGCUCUGCCUGAUCAUAGGCUUCAUAACAGAAAAAUGGAAUCGAGAGUGCUCCUCCUGUUUCUGUAUGAAAGAUCAUGUUUACAGCUCGACACGAGUAUUACUACCGUGACAUUUGCGCCUUUGAUUAUGGAACAUGCACUCAGAAGUCAAAAGACAGAACUGAUCCCUGCAUCGGUAAAUCGCGACACGACAGCUGCAGAUCUCUUAUUCUAGGUAGCAGCCAUGGUGUGCCCAGUGGACUCCCUCGGUAGAAGGAUCGCGUUCGAGAUGCUGCGACCCAUUCCAUGCUGACAAAGUGUGAUGAACUGUUCUUCGGCAUCCAAAAAAGGGGUUCCACUACCUAAUCCUCAGAAGAAAAAUAUGACCGUGCAGUGCUGCAAAUCAAACCAAAUUUGAUCUUUGGCACCGCCUUCUUUGGAAUAGCUAGCUAGCAAAGCAAGCAUGCGUAUAAUUGAAGGCGUGGAAGCGUAUACCUCUAGGCAAGGGCGCGUGCGUGUAUAUAUAUAGAUCAAUAGGAUUACAAUUGGCGGCAGGUUAGUUAGUACUAGCACACACGUAAACACACGCACACACAUCACGUACAAGGUACAUACUGAGAUAAGGAUCACCGUACCUAAGCCAAGCUAUACAAAGAUAAGGAUCAACUCUGACAACCUGCCUUGUACAACACAUGAACACAUGCACACACAUCACGUAAAUGUUACAGAUGACACGUACACGUAUACAAACCCUAUCGUUUAACAGCAUGCACCUGUCGAUCGCCUAUAAAUACAUCUCCAGUUCGUUCAUCCUCUUCAAUAUCUCACCCCCUCUCGCUUAAUAGUCCGUCUCAUCUUGGCUUUGUAUCCAUGGCGGCAAAGAUGGCGAAGAACGUGGACAAGCCGCUCUUCACGGCGACGUUCAACGUCCAGAGCAGCUCCGCCGACUAUGUCACCUUCAUCACCGGCAUCCGCAACAAGCUCCGCAACCCGGGGCACUCCUCCCACAACCGCCCCGUGCUGCCGCCGAUCGAGCCGAACGUCCCGCCGAGCAGGUGGUUCCACAUCGUGCUCAAGACAUCGUCGGCCAGCACCGGGCUCAGGCUCGCCACCCGCGCCGACAACCUCUACUGGGAGGGCUUCAAGAGCAGCGAUGGCACCUGGUGGGAGCUCACCCCCGGCCUCAUCCCCGGCGCCAUCUACGUCGGGUUUGGCGGCACCUACCGCGACCUCCUCGGCGACACCGACAAGCUGACCAACGUCGCUCUCGGCCGGCAGCAGAUGGCCGACGCGGUGACCGCGCUCUACGGGCGCACCAAGGCCGAUAAGACCUCCGGCCCGAAGCAGCAGCAGGCGAAGGAGGCGGUAACGACGCUGCUCCUCUUGGUGCACGAGGCCACGCGGUUCCAGACCCUGUCUGGGUUCGUGGCCGGUCUGCUGCACCCCAAGGCGGUGGAGAAGAAGAGCGGGAAGAUCUCCAACGAGCUAAAGGCCCAGGUGAACGGGUGGCAGGACCUGUCUGAAGCGCUGCUGAAGACGGACGCGAAGCCCCCGCCAGGAAAGCCGCCAGCGAAGUUCACGCCGAUCGAGAAGAUGGGCGUGAGGACGGCGGAGCAGGCGGCCGCCACCCUGGGGAUCCUGCUGUUCGUCCAGGUGCCCGGUGGGAUGACGGUGGCCCAGGCGCUGGAGCUGUUUCAUAAGAGUGGGGGGAAAUAGGUAGUUGUACAGGUAUAUCUGCAUGGGUAUAUAUUGUAUAUAAGUCGAAUAAACAUGUCACAGAGUGACUGAAUGAUAUAAAUAAAUAAGCAUCUCACAGAGUGAGCGAACGAUAUAAAUAAAUAAACAUGUCGAGUUCAUGUUGUGUCCAACCAUAAAAUUGCCAUCCAACAUAUGUUUUGCAUAUGCAAAUAUGAGAAGC